rnacentral:misc_RNA from 1 species
GUAUAUUUAACUUUACUGUUUCAACAUUCUAGAUGCAUUCAAGAGGUUGUGAAAUGACAUAGACCUGGCAAAGGCAAAGCCGUCUUCAAAAUUGAGGCACAGCAAUUCCCAACUCGAAAAAAAAAAAACAAUGAAAAAAUUUUUUUCCCUUCAUGUAUUCAGGUCUACAAUACGUGCACAGUCGGAGAAAUAAAGUUGUCAAGCGUGCACAUACCCCAACGGGGCCAGCAACAGCAAGUUUAUUCAAUGAUGAUCCUUCCGCAGGUUCACCUACGGAAA